rnacentral:rRNA from 1 species
AUGGCGGUGGGCCGCGCGUUCGAGGCGCAGCUGUGCGUCCCACCGCAUCACCUGCGGGUGACGGCGCACAACCCGGAGGAUUUCUUCGUCAUCUUCACCCAGCCAGCCCACCACGAUAACGCGGUGCGUCGCGGCACCCUGCGCGUCGACGGCGUCAACUUCAACAUCGCGCCCUGGGGCGAAAACGACCACGCUGGCCACGGCAUCUUCAACCUCCAUGUCCGUUGCGUCAUCAAGCACCUGCCUCAACAGUACUGGACCCUGGAGGGCGUCCACGAGGUGUUCGGCGACAAGGUGCGCAUCGAUCGGCUCGACAGCCGCACGCUGGAGCGCGACCACACCAAGACAUUCGCUUGCUGGGUGUGGGUCUGGGACAUGGCGUUCAUCCCCACCCGACACACCUACUGGAAGCUCCCUCAGGGCGCCGGGCGCGUCGAGGAGAUGGAGGGCCACUCGCCGCCCGAUCGGCGUGUCGCCCUGCCGCCUGGCGCCGAGCGCUAUGACCUCCUCAUCCAUGUCGACAGGGUGGAGGACUGG